GCCUAAUGAAGAAAGCAUUUUGUUUUUGAUGUGAUUUUCUUCAUUUGUCAACUACUAAGAAGAAAAAAGUAAGCUGUGAUCAACUUUGAAAUAGCUCCUUUCAUUUAGCUGUGGAGUGCUUUACUCUUCAAACUGAUAUGGAUUCAGUGCCUUUCUUUGAAAGGUGAAAGCUAUUGAUCUGGAUCACAAGAAGUCUUUGAUUUUUGGAACUGGGAUAAUCUUAUGCAGCUGAAGAUGUUCAUCAAGUCACAGCUUGAACCACUGAUGGAGCACCUGGUGAAGGGGUGUAGCCAGCUCUGGGAACACAAGUGGAAGCAAUUCCUCCUCACCUCCUAUAAUGGCUGGCAGCUGCAAGAGAAACACUUGUAUUUGGAGAUCAUCUCCUUUGGAGUGUUUGGUGAUCCUUGAUCCUUAGAAUGCGUUUGAAAUCAAAGAAGACAACUAGCAUUUCACGUGCAGUUUGGAGGAAAAGGUUAUUUAACUACCUAAUGACAGGCUAUGGGAAUUGGGAUUCACAAUUCUCAUUCUGCAUAAACUUUAUGUAAAUAAGUAGCCUGAAGAACUGAAGGAAAUAAUGCCAAACUACUUGUAGGUGUUUAUUUUAGUAGGCCUUUGUUUUCUGCUUUUGUGGAAAAGCAAUUGAUCUUUUAAGUACUGAGCUUGUUUGGUUGUGUAACUUAUAGCGUAAGUUUUGUGUGUGGUGACUGAUUGGCUUAGUUGUCUGUUGACCUGUGCAUGCAGAGAGCUAUAGAAGAUCAUAAGGUUGACUGAGCAGGAGGCUCUACUGAGGGCUCCAGCAGAGCUAUCAUGCUUGAUAUUGCUGGCUUUGUCAUCCAGAUUUAUGUUUUUAUUCUUAUAGAUUUUAUAUGCAUGUUCUACUAUAAAGCAAACAUGUUAAUGCUAAAAAAAAAAAAAGUACUGUUAAUCAGUCUUCUAAUCUGAUACUGCAUAGGCAGGAGUAAAGAAAACUACAGGAUGUCACUUACUGGCAUUAGAGCUUUUAAAUAUUGACAAUUUCAUUGUGCUUGGAAAGAUUUUCCUUGCCUGUUAUU